AUUGAACGCUGGCGGCAGGCCUAACACAUGCAAGUCGAGCGGAUGAGUGGAGCUUGCUCCAUGAUUCAGCGGCGGACGGGUGAGUAAUGCCUAGGAAUCUGCCUGGUCGUGGGGGACAACGCUUCGAAAGGAACGCUAAUACCGCAUACGUCCUAAGGGAGAAAGCAGGGGACCUUCGGGACUUGCGCUAUCAGAUGAGCCUAGGUCGGAUUAGCUAGUAGGGGAGGUAAUGGCUCACCUAGGCGACGAUCCGUAACUGGUCGAGGAGGAUGAUCAGUCACACUGGAACUGAGACACGGUCCAGACUCCUACGGGAGGCAGCAGUGGGGAAUAUUGGACAAUGGGCGAAAGCCUGAUCCAGCCAUGCCGCGUGUGUGAAGAAGGUCUUCGGAUUGUAAAGCACUUUAAGUUGGGAGGAAGGGCAGUAAGUUAAUACCUUGCCGUUUUGACGUCACCAACAGAAUAAGCACCGGCUAACUUCGUGCCAGCCGCCGCCGUAACAC
rnacentral:rRNA from 1 species